rnacentral:rRNA from 1 species
UAAUACGAGGGGGGGGCAAGCGUUGUUCGGAUUUACUGGGCGUAAAGGGCUCGUAGGCGGCCACCUAAGUCGGUUGUGAAAUCCCUCGGCUCAACCGGGGAACUGCGACCGAUACUGGGUGGCUUGAAGCCGGGAGAGGGAUGCGGAAUUUCAGGUGUAGCGGUGAAAUGCGUAGAUAUCUGAAGGAACACCCGUGGCGAAGGCGGCAUCCUGGACCGGUCUUGACGCUGAGGAGCGAAAGCUAGGGGAGCGAACGGGAUUAGAUACCCCGGUAGUCCUAGCCCUAAACGAUGAAUGCUUGGUGUGGCGGGUAUCGAUCCCUGCCGUGCCGUAGCUAACGCGUUAAGCAUUCCGCCUGGGGAGUACGGUCGCAAGGCUG